GUGGAGUUUCAAGAAGUUGGUUAAAGUUUCAUACAGUUGGGCUAAACAAUAUACCUUAUACCAUAAGGUAAAUGUAUCUAAAUGGCAAGUUUCAGACUCAAUCCCACCUUUAUCCGAGAAUUGGAUUCAAUUGAAUACAGAUGGUGUAGUAAAAGAGGAUUCUGGGUUUACCACGAUUGGAGGGUCUUACGAGACAGACACGAAAGUUGGAUUCUUGGCUAUAAUCGAUUUUUGGGAAUCUAUUCUAUCUUGAUGCGGAAUUAUGGGGUAUUUGGAAUGGUUUGAUGAUGAUUACACUCGAUAGAGGAUUCAACAAAUUGAUAAUUUUUCAGACAAUCAAGAGGCAGUACAAGCUCUACAAAGCAAUUCUACAAAAGGUUCAAAUUUCGCUUUAGUAAAAAGAAUCCAACUGUUAUUGGCUAAAAUGGUGCAUUGGUCGAUUCAUCGUGUCUCCAGAGAAUACAACAAAGAUGUUGAUAGGCUAGCAAAAAUGACUAUUGGCAAUAAUGGUGGCCUUCAAUUU
rnacentral:lncRNA from 1 species